GAAGGUAGCAUAAUUAAUUGCCUUAUAAUUGAAGGCUUGUUUGAAUGGUUUAACGGGAUGAAUAUAAAUAUUACAUAUAUAGUUGAAUUUAUUAUUGAGGGCACAGAGACCUCAAAAUUUAAUUAGACGGAAAGACCCCGGGAUCUUUUAUUUUUGCCUGGGGCAGGUAUUAAUGUUUCAUUAGUAUUUUGACCCUUAAUGGUUUAUUGGGUUAAGUUACCCCGGGGAUAACAGUGUAAUAAUUAAUAAGAGAUCAUAUCGAAUUAAUUGAUUGCCACCUCGAUGUUGACUUAGGUAAAAAUGUAAACGCAGUAGUUUAUAAUUUGGGUCUGUUCGACCUUUGUUACCUCCAUGAGUUGAGUUAAGACCGGCGUGAGC
rnacentral:rRNA from 1 species